CUGGUCCUGAUGUGCAAGGCCGUCCCCUCCAAACCCACACAACAGACGGCUCCAAGGGACACCCAGCUUGACGCCCAGGCCUGGCCUCGGAGCCAGGCCAGGGGUUUGGGGCUCUGUGCCCGCUGGGCCAUGCACGGGGUCAGGUGCCUGGGGCUGGCUCUACUUUUCCCCUCAUUCAGCGGCUGCAGCAGCCUGCCAGCUCCCUCCGGGCCAUCUGCAGAGCGGCUACAGAGCCAAGCUUGUCCUGGAGACACGCCUCCCUCCCGGCUGCCUCCACCCCCAUCCCAUCGCCUUGGUGGCAAGGCCUGUCCUGAGGCGACGUCCCCUAUUGUCCCAGCCCCCCGCGCCACCUCCCUGCACACACAAUGCCCAGCCCCCAGCUGGCACCGAGCGCCGCCGCCGCUAGGAUUUCACAGCGAGAAUGAGCGUGUGGCCCGGCGCGGUCGCCCUGGGCUCGCUUUCUCCUCUCUGAUCCAGGUGCUAAGCAUGGCACACCAGCGGUUCCGCUCGCCUGCCCCGGGAGCUGCCUGCCCAGCGGUGCCAGCCCCGCACGCAGCCCCCCUGCAAAGCCAUCAGGCUGCCCAGGCCCCCCUGCGUCCCUGGAAAGCCCCGGAGGACGCUGGGCAGGACGGGUUUGCCCAGGGGGUGUCUGUGAAUCGCAGCAGGAUGGUGCCAUCUGCUGCCACAUUAGACAUGCUACACUCGCGUCUAUUCACGGUUUGCUGGCAGAGUCUAGACCAGGCCGUGGCUUCGACCUCCAGAUCUCAUUCUUACAGCCACCAGGCGGCACUACCAGGGCGGGGACAAGAAGGAUCCCUUACUUCCACCUUGGAUGGAAAAUACUUUGGUGGGUUCCCCCCUUGGAUACAUGUUUCAAGUCAGACACAACCCAGAGCUGCUGAUCAAAUUAAAGAGCCCACGGCACAUAUUUAUGUUACAGAGAGACCCCAAUCACUGAUCAGGGCCCCAGUGUGCAAGGUGCUGCACAGACCUAUAUAAGGGCCAGUCCCUGCAGCCAAGAGCCUACAGUGUAACUAGACAAAGGCCAGGGUAAGGAGAAAAGGGGGGUAACAUCCUCUUGCACAUGAGGUGCGGGGUCCUCGUGGCCCCCACGUCCUGUCCACAUUUCAAUCCCGGUCUCUACAUUCUGCCCACCUAUAUCUAGCUCCUUCACCCCCUACCCUUCCCACUGGGUGCUGUGUGAUUCCUGCCCUAAAGCCUGGUGUGCUAGAGUUGUAGCUGCUGGAUUCUUCCCCAGAGGUAGCUGCAUUCCAGAG
rnacentral:lncRNA from 1 species